rnacentral:lncRNA from 1 species
UUUUUUUUUUUUUUGUCUUUUUUGCCAUUUCUUGGGCCGCUCCCGAGGCAUAUGGAGGUUCCCAGGCUAGGGGUCGAAUUGGAGCUGUAGUUGCCAGCCUAUGACAGAGCCACAGCAACGUGGGAUCCGAGCCACGUCUGCAACCCACACCACAGCUCAUGGCAACGCCGGAUCGUUAACCCACUGAGCAAGGGCAGGGACUGAACCUGCAACCUCAUGGUUCCUAGUCGGAUUCGUUAACCACUGCGCCACGAAGGGAACUCCAUUUUUUUUUUUUUUCCCACACCUAUAGCAUAUGGAAGUUUCCAGGCUAGGGUUGAAUCAGAGCUGCAGCUGGACCUUGGCCACAGCCACAGCAACUCAGAAUCUGAGCCAAGUCUGCAACCUACACCACAGCUCUUAGCAACGCCAGAUCUUUAACCCACUGAGUGAGGCCAGGAAUCGAACCCUCAUCCUCACUGAUACUAGUUAGGUUCUUGGCCUACUAAGCCACAACAGGAACUCCCACAGAACUGUUUAAAUAAAUGUGUCAGCCUGCUACCUGUGUGAGAUAGCCUCUGUACCUUCUUUGGGUCCAACCUUGCUCUGCUCUGUUUGGGAAGCUGACCUCUGCAGGCUGCCUCAAUCAGCUCCGGCUCCCUUGCCCUCUGGCUUUUGCAGGUUGAGCUGAGAGGGUUGGAAGGUAGUGUUUAUGCCUCUGGCCAUGCCCUGACCACCCCACCCCCAGUUGGCUGUGGCUGCAUCCACUUGCUGUCAAACUUGCAGGUCUGGUCAGGCAGACCUUCUCGUAUAGCUAACAGUUUCAUCUUCUUGCCCCUUGUGAUGAGAAAAACAACUUUUUGAAAAGCAGCUUUUGUUUUUCUGAGUUGCAGCCUAGGAUAGGCAUUUUACAGUGUGAUAACCCUGUUCACACCCAGAGUCUGGACAUUCUUGUUUGUUUGCUUGCUUUUUAGGGCUGCACCCUCGCCAUAUGGAAGUUCCCAGGCUGGGGGUUGAAUUGGAACUGCAGCUACCAGCCUACACCACAGCCACAGCAAUGCCAGAUCCGAGCCAUGUCUGUGACCUACACUGCGCCUGCGACCUACACCUCAGCUCAUAGCAAUGUCACUGGAUCCUUAACCCCCUGAGUGAGGCCAGGGAUAGAACCCGCAUCUUCAUGGAUACUAGUUGGGUCAUUACCACUGAGCCACAGCAGGAACUCCUGGACAUUUUAAGUAUGGACUUGAGUUUAUGAUGCCCACCUGAAGUUCCAGCUUACCAAGCAGCUUUAAAAUAACCCAAUAAGAUUAAGCUCUGGAAAACUUAGUGACCUCCAUCCUGACCACCUUCUAAGUAAUAGACGUUUGCUCGCGCUCUCUCUUUCCUGCUUGCUCAUGACUUGGGGUAGAGGACUGUCCUUCUCCUGGCUCACUGCACACCGCCCCCUUCCCCCAGCUUCCAGAAUCUUCUACAUAAUAAAUCUUGUGACUUUGCUUCCUUCGUGUGGGUGUAUUGAAACUUGCCUUACAUCAAAAGGACCCCAUGGGUUUCACUUCGACUUUGUAGCAGCUCAGAUGCGCCACCCCACCCGCCUCCACCUGAUGGCCUGAGCCUCCUCCUUAAGCAGGUGUAAUCUGCAUAUUCCUAAUUCAAUACACCAGCUCCUGCUUCUCAGUGCAUCCCUUCAGGUCUAGGAUCGACCAUGGCUCCCAGACAUUGCAAGUCCCUGGCAUUUUACCAUCUCCUGUUGGCUCCUUUACUUGUGCCCAUCCCUUCCUAAACAACCCCUCCACUGAGCCCUCCUAACUUUCCCCUCCACAGGCCAUUUGUUCCCUGCUAGGAAGGCUGCAGGGUCAAACACGCGGCUCAGAUCCCGCGUUGCUGUGGCUGUGGUGUAGGUUUCGGGUUUGUUACCGCUGAGCCCCGAUGGGAACUCCAGCAGUGGACUCUCUGUUUCCCUUUCCUGGCAGUUAUUUGCACUUGGAACCGAGACCUUCCAUGCCUUUUUUCAGAGAAAAGAGUCGGAGAGUAAACUCCACGUGUGCCCACAGGUGGGGAAGUGACUUCUGAAUGGGAAGUCCUGCUUCUUUACAGGACAAUCGGCUCAUGUUGCCAUCUCUUCUCAUGAAGAAAGGACAAACCUUGUUAUCCACGUCAGGAAAGUCCUUGUGCAGAAGGCUGAGGGGAAAAAAAUUUCCAAGGACAAAUUUUUUUUUCCCACUCCCUGGGAAACCCAACCUCCCCAACUUCCUCCAUUUUUCAGCUGCUUGGUACAAGUCAAUGCUUCCCUGAGGUUGUUUUCAGCUGAAAGGCUGAAAGCACCACAGCAGAGGGAAAGGGAAAUAAUUCUUUCCUUGCAUUCCUGUGUUAGUCUGGUUGAGGGGGGAGAGGGGGAGAAAACUGCCAAAAAGUUUAGUAACUUUCAGUCCAGUUCCAGGUGUUUGUUUUCAUUCAGAGAGGUUGGCAGCUGCUCUCUUGCUCUCUUGCUCAAUCCUUCCCCCUGCAUUCCAUCAGACUUCUUGUUUCCCAUCCAAAGGGCUCAGUUCCACUUUGAGCAAUUUCUGUUUUCUACUCUCUAAUCUCUUCACCCUGAAACUAUGGACACUAGUUCACCUGAGAGGCUCUUGGUUACCCCUGCUGCAGCCCCACACCGCCUUUCUCAGCAUCUGGCUCAUAAAUUAAUCUGUCCUUCAAGUCUAACUCAAUUCU